AUGAACGCUGGCGGCGUGCCUAAUACAUGCAAGUCGCGCGAACGGACGAGAAGCUUGCUUCUCUGAUGUUAGCGGCGGACGGGUGAGUAACACGUGGAUAACCUACCUAUAAGACUGGGAUAACUUCGGGAAACCGGAGCUAAUACCGGAUAAUAUUUUGAACCGCAUGGUUCAAAAGUGAAAGACGGUCUUGCUGUCACUUAUAGAUGGAUCCGCGCUGCAUUAGCUAGUUGGUAAGGUAACGGCUUACCAAGGCAACUAUGCAUAGCCGACCUGAGAGGGUGAUCGGCCACACUGGAACUGAGACACGGUCCAGACUCCUACGGGAGGCAGCAGUAGGGAAUCUUCCGCAAUGGGCGAAAGCCUGACGGAGCAACGCCGCGUGAGUGAUGAAGGUCUUCGGAUCGUAAAACUCUGUUAUUAGGGAAGAACAUAUGUGUAAGUAACUGUGCACAUCUUGACGGUACCUAAUCAGAAAGCCACGGCUAACUACGUG
rnacentral:rRNA from 1 species